AUGGUUAAAACACCGUAGGGGACGAAAAUUGAUCGAAGUAUUAAUAAAACGUCUUGAAAUUUUAAAAAGUUAUUGAAUGAAUUAAUAAGUUUAAACUAAAGCAACCGAGGCGAAUUUUCACUCUAUUGAAGGCAUCAUUAUGGAUAAUAAUUGCAUGCUCAACGUGGAAGUUGCCAACCAAACGCAACUUGGGGAUGCGGUGAUCCCUGUCCGGCAACCUGUCAGAACCGUAAUCCCAGCUGCAACAGAUUACGCUGCGCGGAUAGGUGUUACUGCAAUCGCGGUUUCAUAGAACAAUGGUCGGGUGGUCCCUGCGUAAGAUCCUGUUGAAGAUGGUGGCCUUCCUCAAUAUUCUGGAUAUUUAAACGCUAAUCGCUCAGGAAUACGAGUGUACUAGCUCAUGGAAAUUAUAAUAAAAGCUAU